rnacentral:rRNA from 1 species
GUAGGUGGCAAGCGUUGUCCGGAUUUACUGGGCGUAAAGAGCGCGCAGGCGGUCGUUCAAGUCGCGUGUGAAAGCCCCCGGCUCAACUGGGGAGGGUCACGCGAUUCUGAUCGACUCGAAGGCAGGAGAGGGUAGUGGAAUUCCCGGUGUAGUGGUGAAAUGCGUAGGCAUCGGGAGGAACACCAGUGGCGAAGGCGACUACCUGGCCUGUUCUUGACGCUGAGGCGCGAAAGCUAGGGGAGCAAACGGGAUUAGAUACCCCGGUAGUCCUAGCCGUAAACGAUGGACACUAGGUGUUGGGAGCCUUGAGCUCUUAGUGGCGCAGCUAACGCAUUAAGUUGACCGCCUGGGGAGUACGGCCGCAAGGUUA